CCUACGGGAGGCAGCAGUGAGGAAUAUUGGUCAAUGGGCGCGAGCCUGAACCAGCCAAGUAGCGUGAAGGAUGACUGCCCUACGGGUUGUAAACUUCUUUUAUAAAGGGAUAAAGUGAGGCACGUGUGUCUGUUUGUAUGUACUUUAUGAAUAAGGAUCGGCUAACUCCGUGCCAGCAGCCGCGGUAAUACGGAGGAUUCGAGCGUUAUCCGGAUUUAUUGGGUUUAAAGGGAGCGUAGAUGGGUUGUUAAGUCAGUUGUGAAAGUUUGCGGCUCAACCGUAAAAUUGCAUGUGAUACUGGCAGGCUUGAGUACAGUUGAGGUAGGCGGAAUUCGUGGUGUAGCGGUGAAAUGCUUAGAGAUCACGAAGAACUCCGAUUGCGAAGGCAGCUUACUAAGCUGCCACUGACAUUGAUGCUCGAAAGUGUGGGUAUCAAACAGGAUUAGAUACCCUUGUAGUC
rnacentral:rRNA from 1 species